GAUGAACGCUGGCGGCGUGCCUAAUACAUGCAAGUCGAGCGAACAGAUGAGGAGCUUGCUCCUAUGACGUUAGCGGCGGACGGGUGAGUAACACGUGGAUAACCUACCUAUAAGAAUGGGAUAACUUCGGGAAACCGGAGCUAAUACCGGAUAAUAUAUUGAACCGCAUGGUUCAAUAGUGAAAGACGGUUUUGCUGUCACUUAUAGAUGGAUCCGCGCCGCAUUAGCUAGUUGGUAAGGUAACGGCUUACCAAGGCAACGAUGCGUAGCCGACCUGAGCGGGUGAUCGGCCACGCUGGAACUGAGACACGGUCCAGACUCCAACGGGAGGCAGCAGUAGGGAAUCUGCCGCAAUGGACUAAAGCCUAACGGAGCAACGCCGCGUGAGUGAUGAAGGUAUUCGGAGCGUAAAACUCUGUUAUUAGGGAAGAACAAAUGUGUAAGUAACUAUGCACGUCUUGACGGUACCUAAUCAGAAAGCCACGGCUAACUACGUG
rnacentral:rRNA from 1 species